AGCCGCGGUAAUUCCAGCUCCAAUAGCGUAUAUUAAAGUUGUUGCAGUUAAAAAGCUCGUAGUUGAAUUUCGGAAUCAAUUUGUUGGUCGUGCCUCGGUACGUACUGGUAUUAUUGGUUUCUACCUUCUGAAGAACCUUGAUGUCAUUAAUUUGGUGUCUUGGGGAAUCAGGACUGUUACUUUGAAAAAAUUAGAGUGUUUAAAGCAAGCAUACGCUUGAAUACAUUAGCAUGGAAUAAUGAAAUAGGACGUUUGAUUCUAUUUUGUUGGUUUCUAGGAUCGACGUAAUGAUUAAUAGGGAUAGUUGGGGGCAUUAGUAUUCAAUUGUCAGAGGUGAAAUUCUUGGAUUUAUUGAAGUCUAACUACUGCGAAAGCAUUUGCCAAGGAUGUUUUCAUUAAUCAAGAACGAAAGUUAGGGGAUCGAAGACGAUCAGAUACCGUCGUAGUCUUAACCAUAAACUAUGCCGACUAGGGAUCGGAUGAUGUUAAUUUUUUAAUGACUCAUUCGGCGCCUUACG
rnacentral:misc_RNA from 1 species